rnacentral:rRNA from 1 species
AUACUAAAGUAGUAAUAGUUAUAGUCUUGAAACUUAAAGAAUUUGGCGGUAUUUUAAUCUUUUCAGAGGAACUUGUUCUGUAAUCGAUAAUCCUCGUUUAAUUUUACUAAGUAAUUUGUAUAUCGUUGUUAUAAGAAUAAAUUUUCUAAAAUUUUAAUUAAAAUUUAUAUCAAAUCAAGGUGCAGUUUAUAAUUUAGUAGAAAUGAGUUACAAUAAAAUUAUUUAGGAUUUUAAUGAAGGUGGAUUUGAAAGUAAAUUAAUUUUAAAAAAUUUAAUUGAUGAUAGUUCUAAAAUAUGC